GCCGAAGUGGCGGAAUUGGUAGACGCGCUAGGUUCAGGGUCUAGUGGGGGUUCCCCCGUGGAAGUUCGAGUCUUCUCUUCGGCACCA
rnacentral:tRNA from 1 species